rnacentral:rRNA from 1 species
GCCGCGGUGAAUACGUUCCCGGGUCUUGUACACACCGCCCGUCACACCAUGGGAGUUGGGAAUGCCCGAAGCCGGUGACCUAACCGAAAGGGAGGAGCCGUCGAAGGCAGGCUUGAUAACUGGGGUGAAGUCGUAACAAGGUACC